UGGGGAAUUUUCCGCAAUGGGCGAAAGCCUGACGGAGCAAUGCCGCGUGGAGGUGGAAGGCCUACGGGUCGUCAACUUCUUUUCUCGGAGAAGAAACAAUGACGGUAUCUGAGGAAUAAGCAUCGGCUAACUCUGUGGCAG
rnacentral:rRNA from 1 species